rnacentral:rRNA from 1 species
GCAUAUCAAUAAGCGGAGGAAAAGAAACUAACAAGGAUUCCCCUAGUAACGGCGAGUGAAGCGGGAAGAGCUCAAAUUUGAAAGCUGGCGCCUUCGGUGUCCGCAUUGUAAUCUAGAGAGGUGUUUUCCGCGCCGGACCGCGUACAAGUUCCUUGGAACAGGACGUCAUAGAGGGUGAGAAUCCCGUACUUGACGCGGAYGCCCGGUGCUUUGUGAUACACCCUCCACGAGUCGAGUUGUUUGGGAAUGCAGCUCAAAAUGGGUGGUAAAUUCCAUCUAAAGCUAAAUAUUGGGGAGAGACCGAUAGCGAACAAGUACCGUGAGGGAAAGAUGAAAAGCACUUUGGAAAGAGAGUUAAACAGUACGUGAAAUUGUCGAAAGGGAAGCGCUUGAAGUCAGACAUGCUUGCUAGGACUCAGCCUUGCUUUUGCUUGGUGCAUUUCCUGGUGAGCAGGCCAGCAUCGGUUUUGUCCGCCGGAUAAGGGUAGGAGGAACGUGGCACCUCCGGGUGUGUUAUAGCCUCCUACUGGAUACGGCGGAUGGGACCGAGGAACGCAGUGUGCCCUUGUGGCGGGCCUUCGGGUACCUUCGCACUUAGGAUGCUGGCGUAAUGGCUUUAAGCGACCCGUCUUGAAACACGGACC